GUAAUGUCUGGGAAACGUGCCUGAUGGAGGGGGGUAACUACUGGAAACAGUAGCUAAUACCGCAUAACGUCGCAAGACCAAAGAGGGGGACCUUCGGGCCUCUUGCCAUCGGAUGUGCCCAGAUGGGAUUAGCUAGUAGGUGGGGUAACGGCUCACCUAGGCGACGAUCCCUAGCUGGUCUGAGAGGAUGACCAGCCACACUGGAACUGAGACACGGUCCAG
rnacentral:rRNA from 1 species